rnacentral:rRNA from 1 species
AUUGAACGCUGGCGGCAUGCUUUACACAUGCAAGUCGAACGGGCUGGGGGCAACUCCGGUCCGUGGCGAACGGGUGAGUAAUACAUCGGAACGUACCCCGUUGUGGGGGAUAACCCACCGAAAGGUGGGCUAAUACCGCAUACGCCCCUAGGGGGAAAGAGGGGGACCGCAAGGCCUCGCGCGAUGGGAGCGGCCGAUGGCGGAUUAGCUAGUCGGUUGGGUAAGGGCCCACCAAGGCGAUGAUCGGUAGCUGGUCGGAGAGGAUUAUCAGCCACACUGGGACUGAGACACGGCCCAGACUCCUACGGGAGGCAGCAGUGGGGAAUUUUGGACAAUGGGGGCAACCCUGAUCCAGCCAUUCCGCGUGAGUGAAGAAGGCCUUCGGGUUGUAAAGCUCUUUUGUCCGGAGCGAAACGGUUGUGGUGAAUAUCCACGACUACUGACGGUACCGGAAGAAUAAGCACCGGCUAACUACGUGCCAGCCGCCGCGGUAACAC